rnacentral:misc_RNA from 1 species
AUCGACAUUUCGAACGCACAUUGCGGUCCUCGGAUACUGUUCCUGGACCACUCCUGGCUGAGGGUCGCAUCCAUCAGACUGCCGGCGUUUUUUCUUUCCCCUUUCUAAGAGGAAAGCUAUAAGCGUCGCGCGCAAUUGAGAGCUCGCUCUGGUUCCCGCACGGGUCCUCUUGCGUCUCUUUAAAUCAAAGAACGGUCGUUUCCGAGCUUCGGCUGCAGGUACGACUUUACGAGCGUCGGCGCUUUGCGCCCGUACGGUUCCGCGUUUAGCGCGAGGCCGCCCGGCUGACGUGUCCUAGACUACUUGACUAGAACCGACGUCUGGCUGUGAUGCCGGCCCGCGUGCGGAACACUUUCAACGUGCGGACGCAUGCUCGAAACAGUGCCACGCGACAAAAUAAUUUGCUCAUGCGACCUCAGAGCAGGUGAGAC